GCAUCAUAGAAUUGAACCAGAUUCCUAUGUCCUGUUAAAGCACGCAAUAUUUUGACUUCUCUCCUUACGUCCUCAAUUGCAAUUGCUGUGGUCAUCUGCAAAAGAUUCCUCCGUCUCAUUAAAAUGAAAGAACAAAUACAAUAAGGGUCAAUACUGCUUUUGGCGUGCAACAUUCCUCAGUCUCAUUAAAAUGAAAGAACAAAUACAAUAAGGGUCAAUACUGCUUUUGGCGUGCAAAUAACAGGAUAACAUCAUGUAAACACAGUUGACAAGAAAAUGAUUGGAAUCAUCUUCCACCUAAUGCUUUGCUUCAACUUUUAUAUUUAAAAAUAGACAAAACCCUCAAAAUUUUCAGAUACUAGAAACAUCAUCUAGCUAUUAGUCAACCUUUUCUUUUCUUGAUAGGUAACAAACUAUACAACAUAAAAUCCCACUUGCCAUCCUUCUCAACCAUUUCCGGAACAAACACUUGCCGAAACAAUGAGAACAUCCGACUAUUACUAUAUUUCUGCAAAAACACCGUAGCUCAUUCAAAGUCACCAAACACUUUGCACCUCAAAGCACUUACAACCGAUGACAUCUCGACCAGUUAAUAUUACAAUCAGCAGCAAUGACAAAUGAAGACUUCAACAAGAUUUAGCAAUCA
rnacentral:lncRNA from 1 species